rnacentral:rRNA from 1 species
GAUGAACGCUGGCGGCGUGCCUAAUACAUGCAAGUCGAGCGAACGGACGAGAAGCUUGCUUCUCUGAUGUUAGCGGCGGACGGGUGAGUAACACGUGGAUAACCUACCUAUAAGACUGGGAUAACUUCGGGAAACCGGAGCUAAUACCGGAUAAUAUUUUGAACCGCAUGGUUCAAAAGUAAAAGACGGUCUUGCUGUCACUUAUAGAUGGAUCCGCGCUGCAUUAGCUAGUUGGUAAGGCAACGGCUUACCAAGGCAACGAUGCAUAGCCGACCUGAGAGGGUGAUCGGCCACACUGGAACUGAGACACGGUCCAGACUCCUACGGGAGGCAGCAGUAGGGAAUCUUCCGCAAUGGGCGAAAGCCUGACGGAGCAACGCCGCGUGAGUGAUGAAGGUCUUCGGAUCGUAAAACUCUGUUAUUAGGGAAGAACAUAUGUGUAAGUAACUGUGCACAUCUUGACGGUACCUAAUCAGAAAGCCACGGCUAACUACGUGCCAGCAGCCGCGGUAAUACGUAGGUGGCAAGCGUUAUCCGGAAUUAUUGGGCGUAAAGCGCGCGUAGGCGGUUUUUUAAGUCUGAUGUGAAAGCCCACGGCUCACCCGUUGGAGGGUCAUUGGAAACUGGAAAACUUGAGUGCAGAAGAGGAAAGUGGAAUUCCAUGUGUAGCGGUGAAAUGCGCAGAGAUAUGGAGGAACACCAGUGGCGAAGGCGACUUUCUGGUCUGUAACUGACGCUGAUGUGCGAAAGCGUGGGGAUCAAACAGGAUUAGAUACCCUGGUAGUCCACGCCGUAAACGAUGAGUGCUAAGUGUUAGGGGGUUUCCGCCCCUUAGUGCUGCAGCUAACGCAUUAAGCACUCCGCCUGGGGAGUACGACCGCAAGGUUGAAACUCAAAGGGAUUGACGGGGACCCGCACAAGCGGUGGAGCAUGUGGUUUAAUUCGAAGCAACGCGAAGAACCUUACCAAAUCUUGACAUCCUUUGACAACUCUAGAGAUAGAGCUUUCCCCUUCGGGGGACAAAGUGACAGGUGGUGCAUGGUUGUCGUCAGCUCGUGUCGUGAGAUGUUGGGUUAAGUCCCGCAACGAGCGCAACCCUUAAGCUUAGUUGCCAUCAUUAAGUUGGGCACUCUAAGUUGACUGCCGGUGACAAACCGGAGGAAGGUGGGGAUGACGUCAAAUCAUCAUGCCCCUUAUGAUUUGGGCUACACACGUGCUACAAUGGACAAUACAAAGGGCAGCGAAACCGUGAGGUCAAGCAAAUCCCAUAAAGUUGUUCUCAGUUCGGAUUGUAGUCUGCAACUCGACUACAUGAAGCUGGAAUCGCUAGUAGUCGUAGAUCAGCAUGCUACGGUGAAUACGUUCCCGGGUCU